rnacentral:misc_RNA from 1 species
CUGCAUUGCAUAUUCUUCUGUAUAAAGAUGCUUUCAUUAAUUUUUUGUGGUGCUUGUCCUUGUCCAUGUCUAUUUUGUGAUGGUUUUCUUUCAUAACUAUUUUUUUGGUUAUUGAAAAUAGUAAUUGAAUGCGUCCUGUAGGUCAUUAUACUUGUUUGGAGCUUGUUAGAGAAUGGGUUUUGUAUGUUGAUUGAUUUGUAAAAUAUUAAAUUUUGUUAGAUGGUGAGCUCUAUAAAUGUUAUUUUCUGUUGUAAAUUUGUGUUAUGAGCUUUAUUGCCAUGGUCUUCUGGCAACACAAAGUUGCUUCUGCCUUUUGUGAGGUACUAGUUUGCUUAACUAGAAAGAUCUUCUUAAUUGACUUUGCAGCUUGAAUUUGCAGAUGUUAAUGUGUUUCUCAAGCAGUCUGCAAAAGUAAUUUCAUAGGCAUUGCCUAUUUUUUUAUUUGACUGAUGUCUUGGUUGAGAUGGUUUGAACUGUUAACACUUAAAAUUUGAACAUUUUUCUUUUGGUCACGUUCUUUAUACCACACACCAUAUGUGAUUCCACGG